CCUACGGGGGGCAGCAGUGAGGAAUAUUGGUCAAUGGGCGGGAGCCUGAACCAGCCAAGCCGCGUGAGGGAAGAAGGUACAGCGUAUCGUAAACCUCUUUUGUCAGGGAACAAAGGCCGGGACUAGUCCCCGGAUGAGGGUACCUGAAGAAAAAGCAUCGGCUAACUCCGUGCCAGCAGCCGCGGUAAUACGGAGGAUGCGAGCGUUAUCCGGAUUUAUUGGGUUUAAGGGGUGCGCAGGCGGCCUGUUAAGUCAGGGGGAAAAGCCCGGGGCUCAACCCCGGCGAGCCGUUGAAACUGGCGGGCUGGAGUUGGGGAGCAGUACGCGGAAUGCGCGGUGUAGCGGUGAAAUGCUUAGAGAUCGCGCAGAACCCCGAUUGCGAAGGCAGCGUACCGGCUCCACACUGACGCUGAGGCACGAAAGCGUGGGUAUCGAACAGGAUUAGAUACCCUAGUAGUC
rnacentral:rRNA from 1 species